rnacentral:rRNA from 1 species
AUGCAUGAGUUAACUAAGGAAAACAUUGAGCGUAUGAAUGCUAAAUAUAAACUUGCUGGAGAUAAGGGUAGAAAACAUGUUGUGUUUGCACCUGGAGAUCUUGUUUGGUUACAUUUGCGUAAGUAUAGAUUUCCUGAUUUGCGCAAAUCAAAGUUAAUGCCAUGUGCUGAUGGUCCCUUUAAGGUGUUAGAGAAAACAAAUGAUAAUGCAUAUAAACUUGAGCUGCCUGCAGAUUUUGGGGUUAGUCCCACUUUUAACAUUGCAGAUUUGAAGCCUUAUUUGGGUGAGGAAGAUGAACUUCCGUCGAGGACGACUUCAUUUCAAGAAGGGGAGGAUGAUGAGGACAUCAAUACAAUUGUUACACCCACAGUCCCUGCUGCUAUACAUACUGGACCAAUUACUAGAGCUCGUGCACGCCAACUAAAUUACCAGGAAACAGACCCUCGUGGUCAGGUUGAUCGUGCUCCGGCGUGGUCAAUAACCUCUCGGAGUUGGUUUAGCGAUUGCUAA